GACGAACGCUGGCGGCGUGCCUAAUACAUGCAAGUAGAACGCUGAAGAGAGGAGCUUGCUCUUCUUGGAUGAGUUGCGAACGGGUGAGUAACGCGUAGGUAACCUGCCUUGUAGCGGGGGAUAACUAUUGGAAACGAUAGCUAAUACCGCAUAACAAUGGAUGACACAUGUCAUUUAUUUGAAAGGGGCAAUUGCUCCACUACAAGAUGGACCUGCGUUGUAUUAGCUAGUAGGUGAGGUAACGGCUCACCUAGGCGACGAUACAUAGCCGACCUGAGAGGGUGAUCGGCCACACUGGGACUGAGACACGGCCCAGACUCCUACGGGAGGCAGCAGUAGGGAAUCUUCGGCAAUGGGGGCAACCCUGACCGAGCAACGCCGCGUGAGUGAAGAAGGUUUUCGGAUCGUAAAGCUCUGUUGUAAGUCAAGAACGAGUGUGAGAGUGGAAAGUUCACACUGUGACGGUAGCUUACCAGAAA
rnacentral:rRNA from 1 species